UGACGGUACCUGAAGAAUAAGCACCGGCUAACUACGUGCCAGCAGCCGCGGUAAUACGUAGGGUGCAAGCGUUAAUCGGAAUUACUGGGGCGUAAAGCGUGCGCAGGCGGCUUUGCAAGACAGAUGUGAAAUCCCCCGGGCUCAACCUGGGAACUGCAUUUGUGACUGCAAGGCUAGAGUACGGUAGAGGGGGAUGGAAUUCCGCGUGUAGCAGUGAAAUGCGUAGAUAUGCGGAGGAACACCAAUGGCGAAGGCAAUCCCCUGGACCUGUACUGACGCUCAUGCACGAAAGCGUGGGGAGCAAACAGGAUUAGAUACCCUGGUAGUCCACGCCCUAAACGAUGUCAACUGGUUGUUGGACGGCUUGCUGUUCAGUAACGAAGCUAACGCGUGAAGUUGACCGCCUGGGGAGUACGGCCGCAAGGUUGAAACUCAAAAGGAAUUGACGGGGGG
rnacentral:rRNA from 1 species